rnacentral:rRNA from 1 species
GUGGGGAAUAUUGCACAAUGGAGGAAACUCUGAUGCAGCGACGCCGCGUGAGUGAAGAAGUAUUUCGGUAUGUAAAGCUCUAUCAGCAGGAAAGAAAAUGACGGUACCUGACUAAGAAGCCCCGGCUAACUACGUGCCAGCAGCCGCGGUAAUACGUAGGGGGCAAGCGUUAUCCGGAUUUACUGGGUGUAAAGGGAGCGUAGACGGUUAUGCAAGUCUGAAGUGAAAGCUCGGGGCUCAACCCCGGAACUGCUUUGGAAACUGUAAAACUGGAGUGCAGGAGAGGUAAGCGGAAUUCCUAGUGUAGCGGUGAAAUGCGUAGAUAUUAGGAGGAACACCAGAGGCGAAGGCGGCUUACUGGACUGUAACUGACGUUGAGGCUCGAAGGCGUGGGGAGCAAACAGG